GGGAGCUGGCCCUCCCUCUAGUAUCUGUGAAGAGACUGAAGAGGAAGCCACUGCUUCCAGAAUGAGUCCCUCAGGGAGUGAGGGAGAAAUGUCCCUAAAAGGAGUUUUCCUACAGAACAGGACACUGACAGGGAACAUAAGAGGAUCAAGACAGACAGACCAGUCUCGCCUGCACCUAGUGGUGUCUCCAUGAAGAGUGACCGAUCGAUGGGACUUCCUAUUCUCUUUAGGAAAGCAGAACUUUCCACUGAGCAAAGGAUCAAGACAGACAGACCAGUCUCACCUGCACCAAGCUGUGUCUCCAUGAAGAGUGGUCAGUCGAUGGGAAUUCCUAUUUUCUUCAGGGAUGGAGAAUUAUUCACUGGGAAAAGCAGUAUCUCUGAGGAGAAUGACCAGUCAAUGGAUCACCAACCCAGAGUCCCUACUGAUGAGAAAGUGUGAAUGAUCGCAGUUUACACAGCAUCCUACCUG